rnacentral:rRNA from 1 species
CCUACGGGCUGCAGCAGUGAGGAAUAUUGGUCAAUGGACGAGAGUCUGAACCAGCCAAGUAGCGUGAAGGAUGACUGCCCUAUGGGUUGUAAACUUCUUUUAUAAAGGAAUAAAACGAGGCACGUGUGCCUUUUUGCAUGUACUUUAUGAAUAAGGAUCGGCUAACUCCGUGCCAGCAGCCGCGGUAAUACGGAGGAUCCGAGCGUUAUCCGGAUUUAUUGGGUUUAAAGGGAGCGUAGAUGGGUUGUUAAGUCAGUUGUGAAAGUUUGCGGCUCAACCGUAAAAUUGCAAUUGAUACUGGCAGUCGUGAGUACAGUUGAGGUAGGCGGAAUUCGUGGUGUAGCGGUGAAAUGCUUAGAUAUCACGAAGAACCCCGAUUGCGAAGGCAGCUUACUAAACUGUGACUGACAUUGAUGCUCGAAAGUGUGGGUAUCAAACAGGAUUAGAUACCCCUGUAGUC